rnacentral:rRNA from 1 species
UACGUAGGUCCCGAGCGUUGUCCGGAUUUAUUGGGCGUAAAGCGAGCGCAGGUGGUUUAUUAAGUCUGGUGUAAAAGGCAGUGGCUCAACCAUUGUAUGCAUUGGAAACUGGUAGACUUGAGUGCAGGAGAGGAGAGUGGAAUUCCAUGUGUAGCGGUGAAAUGCGUUGAUAUAUGGAGGAACACCGGUGGCAAAAGCGGCUCUCUGGCCUGUAACUGACACUGAGGCUCGAAAGCGUGGGGAGCAAACAGG